GUAGCAUCCGUUAACGGCAGUUGCGCCCCGGCCCGGGACCGGCCCGGAGGCAAGCGUCAUUCUAGGCAACCGAAAUUCGAGGGACACAAUGGGGCAUCGACCCACGUUCGCCGCAUGGACCGCAUCCGAGAGAACGGUACGUGCCCGUGCACCGCAGGGGGCGUGACGAAGCACGACCGAUGCGGGGCGCGUGCAUUACCUUGGUAUCCUCCGGCAACCCCGCAGAAGGGAGCCCGGAUGGAAGGGGAAUCACGAGCCACGUGUAUACCGUCUAGCAGGUAGCCAGCACAGGAACCGCGAACGAACACCAGAGCC
rnacentral:misc_RNA from 1 species